GAUGAAGAACGCAGCGAAAUGCGAUAAGUAAUGCGAAUUGCAGAAUUCAGUGAGUCAUCGAAUCUUUGAACGCACAUUGCGCCCUGUGGUAUUCCGCAGGGCAUGCCUGUUCGAGCGUCAUUUCAACCCUCAAGCUCUGCUUGGUGUUGGGCCCUGCCCGCUUCGGCCGGCCCUAAAGACAGUGGCGGUGCCGCCUGGCCCUGAGCGUAGUACAUCUCUCGCUCCAGUGCCCGGUGGUAGCCUGCCAGAACCCCAACUCUCGUGGUUGACCUCGGAUCAGGUAGGGAUACCCGCUGAACUUAAGCAUAUCAAUAAGCGGAGGA
rnacentral:misc_RNA from 1 species